rnacentral:rRNA from 1 species
UGGCGACCGGCGUACGGGUGAGUAACGCGUAUCCAACCUGCCCUUUACUAUGGGACAGCCCGUCGAAAGGCGGAUUAAUACCGUAUGUUGUCAUGUUGAUGCAUAUUUUCAUGACCAAAGGCUUCGGCCGGUAAAGGAUGGGGAUGCGUCUGAUUAGCUUGCCGGCGGGGUAACGGCCCACCGGGGCGACGAUCAGUAGGGGUUCUGAGAGGAAGGUCCCCCACACUGGUACUGAGACACGGACCAGACUCCUACGGGAGGCAGCAG